CACGUAGGGUGCGAGCGUUGUCCGGAAUUAUUGGGCGUAAAGAGCUCGUAGGCGGUGUGUCGCGUCGGCCGUGAAAACUUGGGGCUUAACUCUGAGCGUGCGGUCGAUACGGGCAUCACUUGAGUUCGGCAGGGGAGACUGGAAUUCCUGGUGUAGCGGUGAAAUGCGCAGAUAUCAGGAGGAACACCGAUGGCGAAGGCAGAUCUCUGGGCCGUAACUGACGCUGAGGAGCGAAAGCAUGGGGAGCGAACAGG
rnacentral:rRNA from 1 species